rnacentral:rRNA from 1 species
AGUGAACGCUGGCGGUAGGCCUAACACAUGCAAGUCGAACGGCAGCACAGUAAGAGCUUGCUCUUACGGGUGGCGAGUGGCGUACGGGUGAGGAAUACAUCCUAAUCUACUUUUUCGUGUGGGUUAACGUAGGGAAACUUACGCCAAUACCGCAUACGACCUACCGGUGAAAGCAGGGGAUCUUCGGACCUUGCGCGAUUGAAUGAGCCGAUGUCGGAUUAGCUAGUUGGCGGGGUAAAGGCCCACCAAGGCGACGAUCCGUAGCUGGUCUGAGAGGAUGAUCAGCCACACUGGAACUGAGACAGGGUCCAGACUCCUACGGGAGGCACCAGUGGGGAAUAUUGGACAAUGAGGGCAAGCCUGAUCCAGCCAGACCGCGUGGGUGAAGAAGACCUUCGGGUUGUAAAGCCCGUUUGUUGGGAAAGAAAAGCAGCAGGUUAAUACCCCGCUGUUCUGACGGUACCCAAAGAAUAAGCACCGGCUAACUACGUG